UACGGAGGGUGCAAGCGUUGCUCGGAAUUAUUGGGCGUCAAGGGUAGGUAGGUGGUCUCAUUUGUCUGGGGUGAAAGCCUUGAGCUUAACUCAAGAAGUGCCCCGGAAACGGUGAGACUCGAGUACUGGAGAGGUUCGUGGAAUUCCCGGUGUAGCGGUGAAAUGCGUAGAGAUCGGGAGGAACACCAGAGGCGAAGGCGGCGAACUGGACAGUUACUGACACUCAACUACGAAAGCGUGGGGAGCAAACAGG
rnacentral:rRNA from 1 species